rnacentral:rRNA from 1 species
AGCAGCCGCGGUAAUUCCAGCUCCAAUAGCGUAUAUUAAAGUUGUUGCAGUUAAAAAGCUCGUAGUUGAAUUUCGGGAUCAAUACGUCUGUCGUGCCUUUGGUACGUACGGGUGUAAUUGGUUUCUACCUUCUGAGGAUCCUUGAUGUCAUUAAUUUGGUGUCUUGGGGAAUCAGGACUGUUACCUUGAAAAAAUUGAGUGUUUAAAGCAGGCAUGCGCUUGAAUACAUUAGCAUGGAAUAAUGAAAUAGGACGUUCGAUUCUAUUUUGUUGGUUUCUAGGAUCGACGUAAUGAUUAAUAGGGAUAGUUGGGGGCAUUAGUAUUCAAUUGUCAGAGGUGAAAUUCUUGGAUUUAUUGAGGACUAACUACUGCGAAAGCAUUUGCCAAGGAUGUUUUCAUUAAUCAAGAACGAAAGUUAGGGGAUCGAAGACGAUCAGAUACCGUCGUAGUCUUAACCAUAAACUAUGCCGACUAGGGAUCGGAUGAUGUUAAUUUUUUAAUGACUCAUUCGGCGCCUUAA